AAAUCUUCUACACCGUCCACUCGCAGGCGCUCAGCCCGCGGAUCGGGCUCGACGCCGCCAGGGUCUCCGAGAGGCUGCAGGACCUGCUGCUCCUCGUCUGAUGAUGAAUGACCUCAGGAUCAGCGACAGUACUAAGGAAGACUGUAUUAGAGUAGUAGGCGAGGUCAGGACGGACGGAGUGCGAGGUAGCAGAGGGAACCAUAAACCGGCUGAUCCAUGGAAAGGGAAGCUUGGUUUCUUUGCAGUUGUGCAUAUGUAGGAGCAAGCAAGCAGACUGCUUUUUGUUUUUUGGUUUUUUCAGCUCUUAGAAACGGCCGG
rnacentral:lncRNA from 1 species